UUUAUGGAGAGUUUGAUCCUGGCUCAGGAUGAAUGCUGGCGGCGUGCCUAAUACAUGCAAGUCGAGCGAACGGACGAGAAGCUUGCUUCUCUGAUGUUAGCGGCGGACGGGUGAGUAACACGUGGAUAACCUACCUAUAAGACUGGGAUAACUUCGGGAAACCGGAGCUAAUACCGGAUAAUAUUUUGAACCGCAUGGUUCAAAAGUGAAAGACGGUCUUGCUGUCACUUAUAGAUGGAUCCGCGCUGCAUUAGCUAGU
rnacentral:rRNA from 1 species